CCCCCCCCCCCCCCCUACGGAAAUACUUGUCAUAAAAAUGGAUAAAAUAAGAUGUAUCUAGACGUAUUUUAGUUUCUAGAAACAUCCUUUUUUAUCCAUUUUGAUGACAAGUAUUUUCUGACGGAGGGAGUACCAA
rfam:Triticum urartu cultivar G1812 contig896738, whole genome shotgun sequence.